rnacentral:rRNA from 1 species
CGUGUAGGCGGUUCAAUAGGUCCGAUGUGAAAACUCGAGGCUCAACCUCGAGAGGUCGUCGGAAACCAUUGAACUAGAGUCCGGAAGAGGAGAGUGGAAUUCCUGGUGUAGCGGUGAAAUGCGCAGAUAUCAGGAAGAACACCGAUGGCGAAGGCAGCUCUCUGGGACGGUACUGACGCUGAGACGCGAAAGCGUGGGGAGCGAACA